CAGAUGCUUCAGAAAACCCUAUCUGGACAACUCCAUCUAGUGCAAAGUUCCUCAUGCCAGCCAGAAAGAAGUAAUUUUAUCUGUAUCACACCUCUAAUUAAAAUAAGGUUUCUCAUUGCCUAGAAGAUAAAAUCUAAAUGCUUGGUUUCUCGCAGGGCUCACAAUGACUAUCCCGCCAGCCACGCCCCUUCACCAGCUCUACUCAGGUUCAAACUACUGUAGUUCGGGAACAUGCCCUGCUUUCCUUUCACUGUGUCUAAGGGAGCCCUCUACAGGAUCUACAACUCUACAGGAGUUCCAGCUCCCUCUUAGGUAACCAUAUUCUUUCUGGGGAAUCCUUUUUGGAUCUCCUUUGUCCUUGUAGCUAGACUAAGAGCUCUUUAAAGACCUUCUUUAAUACCCCUAUUGCUUUGGACAGUGGAUGGCACAUAUUAGGUAGGUACUUCAUGCUGAAUGAGUAAACAGUUUGAAAGAGUAAAUACUGCUUCCAUUUGCAUGUACCGGCC